rnacentral:snRNA from 1 species
GUGUGUUAUUCCAUUGAGAUAAAG